GACGAACGCUGGCGGCGUGCCUAACACAUGCAAGUUGAGCGACGAACCAGGGCUUGCCCUGGGGCAAAGCAGCGAACGGGUGAGUAACACGUGGGUAACCUACCCCGAUAACCGGGACAACCCGAGGAAACUCGGGCUAAUACCGGAUGUGCUCACUGGACUUCGGUUCAGUGCGUAAAGGAAGCUUCGGCCUCCGUAUCGGGAGGGGCCCGCGGCCCAUUAGUUUGUUGGUGAGGUAACGGCUCACCAAGACCGCGAUGGGUAGCUGGUCUGAGAGGACGAUCAGCCACACUGGGACUGAGACACGGCCCAGACUCCUACGGGAGGCGGCAGUGGGGAAUCUUGCGCAAUGCGCGAAAGCGUGACGCAGCAACGCCGCGUGGGGAAGAAGGCCUUCGGGUUGUAAACCCCUUUCAGGAGGGACGAAGGUUCGGCGGUGAAUAGCCGUCCGGACUGACGGUACCUCCACAAGAAGCCCCGGCUAACUACGUG
rnacentral:rRNA from 1 species